UCCAUUUUUCGGUUUCAAUCCACUUUUCGGUUUCAAACCAUUUUUCAGUUUCACUCUGCUGGCACUGUUUUGGCGUACGGGGGCGCGCUGGGGGGCGGGGAUUCCGACCCGCAUGUAUUUGCAUAUAUUAUAAUGCUGACCAAUGACUGGAGAAAACACUGACGACGCGGCUGCGGUCACGGACAAACUCGCACGUGUCUGUUCGGGAAUGGCAGAUGCCGAGAGGUCCAGCGUUUACAUUACCGACUAUUUCAAAGUGACAGCCUGAGGUGUUCUUCAGUAAAUUGGACUACCGGACAGGAGGACCUGAGGCCCCACCGCAUUAUUUUUGGUAAGUUAAAUGUGUUUGUAAGCUAAUCCGUAAUUUAGGUCCUUAGUUCGUUUAGCUACCCGUGCAGGUGAAUGAAUUUACCCUGACUAAAGAAAUCAAGAGAAACGCACCGGGCUGCUCAGUGACUAACCACGGUUACUGUACUUUUAUUAUGAGUAUUAUACUGUAAGAGCAACGGGCUGGACUCUGCUUCUGCUCCUGUGCAGAGCUGAUUAUUAAAUAUGUGCAAACAGCAGCAUGUUUUCUGUCGCUUUCCACAUGUGGAAGGACAUUAACGCCAACUUUUAAAUUCCCCUCAUUAGUCAAUAGCUACGGAUUAAAUAGCAAAGCCCGAUACUUAUGUACUGAAACCAACUACUUCCGCUUGUCAGCUUAACUUAAAAUGUUACAUUUUUCCCCUGAUUAUUUUUUUAGCUUUUUUUUUUUUUUUUUUUUUACUGAGUUUGUUACAAAUAUUCAGGUUAAAAAACUGUCCAAAUUAUUUUUAAUGAAUUAUGUUCACAAAGUCACAUGUUCAGUACUCUGUACAGCUUGCAUCCUUUAGGACAAAUAAUUUGAAACGUUAAUAUUUCUUGUUCAAUACUGAGCUGAUAACACCUCUGUAUGUUGUGACCAGGAUGCAGCAGCAGACUGAACCUCGACUGAAACCUGCUCCAUCAUCUCAUCUUUGCAGAUGUCCAUUUAUAAAGCAUCAACAACUCAAAGGAGCUGUCCUCAGAUUCAGACCUCAGCACCACCCAGUGACAGCAGACAGAUCAUCCUAUAUCUUCAAUCUUUGUAGUAACUCCAAAAUUAACUGAAGAAAACAGUACAAAGGUUAAAGUACCACAUGUGCUGUCAGUGAAAGCUGCAGCUGUUUUAUUGAUAAAUUUAAAGACAAAAAGUCAAAAGGAUUAAUCACCCCUGUAACUGUGUCACUAUACAUCAGCAUUAACAGUACCUCAGUUUGGUGUUUCAGAAAACUGCUGAUCUCAGACCUGCACAACUUCUGUUUUAAACACUGAAUGUACUCAGCUACAUGAAGAGCACAUGAUGUUUUCUCUGACACAAUUAAAUAAAACCUGAUUAAA